UCUUAGAUGACUGAGGUAUAAGUGCUAGACUUUUAAUCUAGAUACGGCUGACACGUAGCCUCUAAGAG
rnacentral:tRNA from 1 species